AAGAAUCUGGAGACAGGUGCUGCAUGGCUGUCGUCAGCUCGUGUCGUGAGAUGUUGGGUUAAGUCCCGCAACGAGCGCAACCCUUGCCUUUAGUUGCCAGCAGUUCGGCUGGGCACUCUAAAGGGACUGCCGGUGUUAAACCGGAGGAAGGUGGGGAUGACGUCAAGUCCUCAUGGCCCUUACGGCCUGGGCUACACACGUGCUACAAUGGUCGGUACAAAGGGUUGCCAAGCCGCGAGGUGGAGCUAAUCCCAUAAAACCGAUCGUAGUCCGGAUCGCAGUCUGCAACUCGACUGCGUGAAGUCGGAAUCGCUAGUAAUCGUGAAUCAGAAUGUCACGGUGAAUACGUUCCCGGGCCUU
rnacentral:rRNA from 1 species